GACGAACGCUGGCGGCGUGCUUAACACAUGCAAGUCGAACGGAAAGGCCCUGCUUUUGUGGGGUGCUCGAGUGGCGAACGGGUGAGUAACACGUGAGUAACCUGCCCUUGACUUUGGGAUAACUUCAGGAAACUGGGGCUAAUACCGGAUAGGAGCUCCUGCUGCAUGGUGGGGGUUGGAAAGUUUCGGCGGUUGGGGAUGGACUCGCGGCUUAUCAGCUUGUUGGUGGGGUAGUGGCUUACCAAGGCUUUGACGGGUAGCCGGCCUGAGAGGGUGACCGGCCACAUUGGGACUGAGAUACGGCCCAGACUCCUACGGGAGGGAGCAGUGGGGAGUAUUGCACAAUGGGCGGAAGCCUGAUGCAGCAACGCCGCGUGCGGGAUGACGGCAUUCGGGUUGUAAACCGCUUUCGCCUGUGACGAAGCGUGAGUGAAGGUAAUGGGGAAAGAAGCACCGGCUAACUACGU
rnacentral:rRNA from 1 species